GUUAUAUGGUCAAGUGAAGAAGCGCAUACGGUGGAUGCCUUGGCAGUCAGAGGCGAUGAAAGACGUGGUAGCCUGCGAAAAGCUUCGGGGAGUCGGCAAACAGACUGUGAUCCGGAGAUGUCUGAAUGGGGGAACCCAGCCAUCAUAAGAUGGUUAUCUUGUACUGAAUACAUAGGUGCAAGAAGCGAACCAGGGGAACUGAAACAUCUAAGUACCCUGAGGAAAAGAAAUCAACCGAGAUUCCCUUAGUAGUGGCGAGCGAACGGGGACCAGCCCUUAAGUUGUAUUGAGAUUAGCGGAACGUUCUGGAAAGGACGGCCAUAGUGGGUGAUAGCCCUGUACGCGAAAAUCCCUUUGCAAUGAAAUCGAGUAGGACGGGGCACGAGAAACCUUGUCUGAAUAUGGGGGGACCNNNNNNNNNNAUGCGUACAAGCAGUGGGAGCCCACUUUGUUGGGUGACUGCGUACCUUUUGUAUAAUGGGUCAGCGACUUAUUUUCAGUGGCGAGCUUAACCGAAUAGGGGAGGCGUAGCGAAAGCGAGUCUUAAUAGGGCGUCUAGUCGCUGGGAAUAGACCCGAAACCGGGCGAUCUAUCCAUGGGCAGGUUGAAGGUUGGGUAACACUAACUGGAGGACCGAACCGACUACCGUUGAAAAGUUAGCGGAUGACCUGUGGAUCGGAGUGAAAGGCUAAUCAAGCUCGGAGAUAGCUGGUUCUCCUCGAAAGCUAUUUAGGUAGCGCCUCAUGUAUCACUGUAGGGGGUAGAGCACUGUUUCGGCUAGGGGGUCAUCCCGACUUACCNNNNNNNNNNCAGCUAAGGUCCCAAAGUCAUGGUUAAGUGGGAAACGAUGUGGGAAGGCUUAGACAGCUAGGAGGUUGGCUUAGAAGCAGCCACCCUUUAAAGAAAGCGUAAUAGCUCACUAGUCGAGUCGGCCUGCGCGGAAGAUGUAACGGGGCUCAAACCAUGCACCGAAGCUACGGGUAUCAUCUUUUGAUGAUGCGGUAGAGGAGCGUUCUGUAAGCCUGUGAAGGUGAGUUGAGAAGCUUGCUGGAGGUAUCAGAAGUGCGAAUGCUGACAUGAGUAACGACAAUGGGUGUGAAAAACACCCACGCCGAAAGACCAAGGUUUCCUGCGCAACGUUAAUCGACGCAGGGUUAGUCGGUCCCUAAGGCGAGGCUGAAAAGCGUAGUCGAUGGAAAACAGGUUAAUAUUCCUGUACUUCUGGUUAUUGCGAUGGAGGGACGGAGAAGGCUAGGCCAGCCUGGCGUUGGUUGUCCAGGUUUAAGGUGGUAGGCUGAGAUCUUAGGUAAAUCCGGGAUCUCAAGGCCGAGAGCUGAUGACGAGUGUUCUUUAGAACACGAAGUGGUUGAUGCCAUGCUUCCAAGAAAAGCUUCUAAGCUUCAGGUAACCAGGAACCGUACCCCAAACCGACACAGGUGGUUGGGUAGAGAAUACCAAGGCGCUUGAGAGAACUCGGGUGAAGGAACUAGGCAAAAUGGCACCGUAACUUCGGGAGAAGGUGCGCCGGUGAGGGUGAAGCAUUUACUGCGUAAGCCCACGCCGGUCGAAGAUACCAGGCCGCUGCGACUGUUUAUUAAAAACACAGCACUCUGCAAACACGAAAGUGGACGUAUAGGGUGUGACGCCUGCCCGGUGCCGGAAGGUUAAUUGAUGGGGUUAGCGCAAGCGAAGCUCUUGAUCGAAGCCCCGGUAAACGGCGGCCGUAACUAUAACGGUCCUAAGGUAGCGAAAUUCCUUGUCGGGUAAGUUCCGACCUGCACGAAUGGCGUAACGAUGGCGGCGCUGUCUCCACCCGAGACUCAGUGAAAUUGAAAUCGCUGUGAAGAUGCAGUGUAUCCGCGGCUAGACGGAAAGACCCCGUNNNNNNNNNNGCGUGGACGCCAGUCUGCGUGGAGCCAACCUUGAAAUACCACCCUGGCAACUUUGAGGUUCUAACUCAGGUCCGUUAUCCGGAUCGAGGACAGUGUAUGGUGGGUAGUUUGACUGGGGCGGUCUCCUCCUAAAGAGUAACGGAGGAGUACGAAGGUGCGCUCAGACCGGUCGGAAAUCGGUCGUAGAGUAUAAAGGCAAAAGCGCGCUUGACUGCGAGACAGACACGUCGAGCAGGUACGAAAGUAGGUCUUAGUGAUCCGGUGGUUCUGUAUGGAAGGGCCAUCGCUCAACGGAUAAAAGGUACUCCGGGGAUAACAGGCUGAUACCGCCCAAGAGUUCAUAUCGACGGCGGUGUUUGGCACCUCGAUGUCGGCUCAUCACAUCCUGGGGCUGAAGCCGGUCCCAAGGGUAUGGCUGUUCGCCAUUUAAAGUGGUACGCGAGCUGGGUUUAGAACGUCGUGAGACAGUUCGGUCCCUAUCUGCCGUGGACGUUUGAGAUUUGAGAGGGGCUGCUCCUAGUACGAGAGGACCGGAGUGGACGAACCUCUGGUGUUCCGGUUGUCACGCCAGUGGCAUUGCCGGGUAGCUAUGUUCGGAAAAGAUAACCGCUGAAAGCAUCUAAGCGGGAAACUUGCCUCAAGAUGAGAUCUCACUGGAACCUUGAGUUCCCUAAAGGGCCGUCGAAGACUACGACGUUGAUAGGUUGGGUGUGUAAGCGCUGUGAGGCGUUGAGCUAACCAAUACUAAUUGCCCGUGAGGCUUGACCAUAUAACACCCAAGCAAUU
rnacentral:rRNA from 1 species